rnacentral:rRNA from 1 species
UACAGAGGGUGCAAGCGUUGUCCGGAAUCACUGGGCGUAAAGGGCGCGUAGGCGGCCUGAUAAGUAGGGGGUGAAAUCCUGCGGCUUAACCGCAGGGCUGCCUUCUAAACUGUCAGGCUAGAGCACGGUAGAGGCAGAUGGAAUUCCCGGUGUAGCGGUGGAAUGCGUAGAGAUCGGGAAGAACAUCAGUGGCGAAGGCGGUCUGCUGGGCCGUUGCUGACGCUGAGGCGCGACAGCGUGGGGAGCAAACAGG